rnacentral:rRNA from 1 species
UGGGAACGUACCCUUUGGUUCGGAACAACCCAGGGAAACUUGGGCUAAUACCGGAUAAGUCCGUAAGGAGAAAGAUUUAUCGCCAAAGGAUCGGCCCGCGUCUGAUUAGCUAGUUGGUAGGGUAAUGGCCUACCAAGGCUACGAUCAGUAGCUGGUCUGAGAGGAUGAUCAGCCACAUUGGGACUGAGACACGGCCAGACUCCUACGGGAGGCAG